GGAGGNUCUCUUGGUGAUUCAUGAUAACUUCUCGAAUCGCACGGCCCCGCGCCGGCGAUGGUUCAUUCAAAUUUCUUCCCUAUCAACUUUCGAUGCUACGGUAUUGUCCUAGCAUGGUUGCAACGGGUGACGGAGGGUUAGGGCUCGACCCCGGAGAAGGAGCCUGAGAAACGGCUACUACAUCCAAGGAAGGCAGCAGGCGCGCAAAUUACCCAAUCCCGAUACGGGGAGGUAGUGACGAUAAAUACCGAUACAGGGCUCUUUUGGGUCCUGUAAUUGGAAUGAGUACAAUUCAAAUCCCUUAACGAGGAACAAUUGGAGGGCANGUCUGGUGCCAGCANCCGCAGGUAAUUCCAGCUCCAAUAGCGUAUAUUAAAGUUGUUGUGGUUAAAAAGCUCGUANUANAAGCUCGGGCUCCGGCCGACCGGUUCGCCUCACCGCGUGCACUGGNNCGGCCGGGCCUUCACCUUCUGCGGAACCGCUAUCUNCUUCACUGGGGGUGUNNGNGGAAACAUGACUUUUACUGUGAAAAAAAUUAUGAGGUGCUNCANGUANGUNUAUNCCUCNNAUACAUUUANGCAUGGAAUAAUGGNAUCGGGACNNGUUG
rnacentral:rRNA from 1 species